UAUAACCUCAUUGUAUUUUAUUUUAAAUACCAAUCCUUAAUAAACUAGAGCCUUCAAACCAAAGUACCUGCUGAGCGGUGAGGCUGAUUGGCUGGGCUUAACAGGGUGUGGACAGCUCGUCCCAGGGUCAGGAGUUUUCCCAUCAGAAGCUCGGGCUCAUUCGCCCAGUGUCUAUCAAAGGCUCAUCUCCUAGACUGUACAGCGAUAAGUCGCUAGUGCAGGCUUUUGCUCCGCUUCUGCUUCCGACAUCGAAAUCCCCUCAGCAGACUGGAGGGACCCCAAGUUGAGAUGGAUUGGAAAGAAGAUAGCAAUGGAAUGGCGAGAAGCCCCGCAGAAGAGAGGACAGACUCGCCAUCAGACAGCAAAAG